rnacentral:lncRNA from 1 species
GACGUGUCUAAAGGAAAACACUUACUAGAAAUCGGUCAUUUAACCGUUUGCUUAAAUCGAUGAAUUCGGAUUAAUUUAUGAAAUGUUUAGACGUUUAGUCUCGGGAGAUGUAUUUAUUCUACAGCGGAGACUUUCUCAGUCGUUGAAAUGUCUGAGAUUACUGUCGUGCAACUCCGUUAUCGGUUCCGACCGUGGACAGGACCUGUCGAGAGAGGAGCGAACUGUUCCGACCGAACGGGUAAAGUUGGAUCAUACGAAUACACGUAUAGGACCAGCAGACGAUACGUUUCUGGUUCCUUCCCGACCCGAGAAACAGAAGCGGGUGUGUAAAGUCAUAUUGGACCGUUUUGACCAACAGUACGGCCAGGAACUUGGCCCCCUAUGGCCGUCUGCAAGGGCUGUGCUGUUGAACCCUGGGUGUUGGCAGUAUGGUG